UACAGAGGCCUCAAGCGUUGUUCGGAUCACUGGGCGUAAAGGGUGCGUAGGCGGCGCGGAAAGUCAGGGGUGAAAUCCCGGAGCUCAACUCCGGAACUGCCUUUGAUACUCCCGCGCUUGAGAACUGGAGGGGACAUCGGAAUUCACGGUGGAGCAGUGAAAUGCGUGGAUAUCGUGAGGAACACUAGUGGCGAAGGCGGAUGUCUGGACAGUAUCUGACGCUGAGGCACGAAGGCCAGGGGAGCGAACGGG
rnacentral:rRNA from 1 species